CUUUCUGUCACUUCAAUAAUGCCAGGAUGCUGGGGAGCAGCCGGAGUAGUCUGGGAGACAGGAGGGCAAGGGUAACUCCUCCUGAGCUACAGAAGGCAAUGAUGCAGAACCAGCUGCAGGCAGGCUGCACGGGCUUUGCUGUCCUCCCCAAGCCAGGGGCCAGCCUUCUGGCCCCAUGAGUUUCCCGUGGGGAGGCUGCUCAGCCAUGUGAGGGCAGGGAACAAAAGCAGCAGCAUCUCCACGACAAGGGUAGGGUGCAGACAGACACCAUCAGGCUAGAGCUAGCUAGCUUUCAGGUGAAGGCGACUGGCUAAGAUUUAGAAAUGGAUGCACAAAGCUAAGAUUUACAAAUGGAUGUGCCAACACUCAUUGCCCUGAAGGCUGGCCCCGAUCUGGUGGUAGGGUUGCCUGGAGCUCCAGGCUGGGCAGGACCAUGAGAGUGCAUCCCAGGCCCAGGAUAAAAAGGCCACGAAGGUGCUUGAUGCAAUCCACAGGCACAGGAAGGCCAUGGCCGCUUGAGCGCAGUGCACUAGCCUUUUCAGCCUUGUAUUCUCAGGACUCCAGUGGAGCGUUGGUUUGAUGUCAGCAGGUGGUUCUGCUGAGUCCUAAACUUGCACCUGAAGCUCAGCACUGCCCUGCUGGAAAUCAGGACCAGACCAACAUGACCUAGAUGUUGCGGAACGAGCUCAGGCUCAGUAUUUCCAAACAGGAGAGAGACUAUCCAUCUUCACUUCUGGCAGGGGGCUGGUCCCUCCCAGUGAUUGGGGAUUUUCUGCUGCUGGAGAGAGGUCCACUCACCUCCCUCUGGAACUCCGAAGCUUCUGGAAGACUAUUUUGGUUUUUAUGUCUGUCACCCCUUCACAUAGAGAGAUGGAGUCCCAGAUUGUUGUCCAGGCUGAUCCCAAACUCUUGUCCUCACAUAAUCCUCUUGCAUCAGCCUUGCAAGGUGCUGGGAUUAGAGGCGUGAGCCACCAUGC
rnacentral:lncRNA from 10 species